rnacentral:rRNA from 1 species
CCUACGGGAGGCAGCAGUAAGGAAUAUUGGACAAUGGAGGAAACUCUGAUCCAGCGAUGCCGCGUGAAGGAAGACGGCCCUAUGGGUUGUAAACUUCUUUUAUACAGGAAGAAACCUUUCCACGUGUGGAAAGCUGACGGUACUGUAAGAAUAAGGAUCGGCUAACUCCGUGCCAGCAGCCGCGGUAAUACGGAGGAUCCAAGCGUUAUCCGGAAUUAUUGGGUUUAAAGGGUCCGCAGGCUGUUUGUUAAGUCAGGGGUGAAAUCCUACCGCUCAACGGUAGAACUGCCUUUGAUACUGGCAAACUUGAGUUAUUGUGAAGUAGUUAGAAUGUGUAGUGUAGCGGUGAAAUGCAUAGAUAUUACACAGAAUACCAAUUGCGAAGGCAGAUUACUAACAAUUAACUGACGCUGAGGGACGAAAGCGUGGGUAGCGAACAGGAUUAGAUACCCUGGUAGUCCACGCCGUAAACGAUGGUCACUAGCUGUUCGAUGUACAUUGGUACAUUGAGUGGCUAAGCGAAAGUGAUAAGUGACCCACCUGGGGAGUACGCUCGCAAGAGUGAAACUCAAAGGAAUUGACGG